AAGUUUUUGUUUUAAAUAAUUCAUCACUCAAUUGUUUCACUAAAUUCUUCUAAUUCUUCGGUCGAACGGCCGAUUCCUAAAUUGAAUUGGUCAACCAAUUUCGAUUGGUAUGUUGUAAAAAAUAAUUUGUUCGUUUUUUGUUCAUACGUC
ensembl:ncRNA K08E4.10 ncRNA